rnacentral:rRNA from 1 species
GACGAACCGUGCGAACGUUAUUCGGAAUCACUGGGCUUAAAGCGCGUGUAGGCGGGCCGGCACGUCGGUCGCUGAAAUCCCCCGGCUCAACCGGGGAAGGGGCGCCGAUACGACCGGCCUGGAGGGGCGUAGGGGGACCUGGAACUUCCGGUGGAGCGGUGAAAUGCGUUGAGAUCGGAAGGAACGCCCGUGGCGAAAGCGAGGUCCUGGACGCCUGCUGACGCUGAGACGCGAAAGCCAGGGGAGCGAACGGG